AUUGAACGCUGGCGGAAUGCUUUACACAUGCAAGUCGAACGGCAGCACGGACUUCGGUCUGGUGGCGAGUGGCGAACGGGUGAGUAAUAUAUCGGAACGUGCCCAGUCGUGGGGGAUAACGUAGCGAAAGUUACGCUAAUACCGCAUACGAUCUAUGGAUGAAAGCGGGGGAUCGCAAGCCCUCGCGCGAUUGGAGCGGCGGAUAUCAGAUUAGGUAGUUGGUGGGGUAAAGGCUCACCAAGCCAACGAUCUGUAGCUGGUCUGUGAGGACGACCAGCCACACUGGAACUGAGACACGGUCCAGACUCCUACGGGAGGCAGCAGUGGGGAAUUUUGGACAAUGGACGCAAGUCUGAUCCAGCCAUUCCGCGUGCAGGAUGAAGGCCCUCGGGUUGUAAACUGCUUUUGUACGGAACGAAAAGGUCUCCAUUAAUACUGGGGGCUCAUGACGGUACCGUAAGAAUAAGCACCGGCUAACUACGUGCCAGCCGCCGCGGUAAUAC
rnacentral:rRNA from 1 species